GUACUGCUAAGGUUUUUUCCAGAUGAUCUCUCACUCACUUCGGAAAACACCCAAGAAACUUUUCAAAGUUACGGGAUGACAUUUAUCAUUUGAGGGCAUUUAUUUUUUAUCAAAGUUUGGAUUUUCAUAAAGGUUAUUUUAACUUGGCAAAACAAAAAAUUAAAAGUACAAGAGAUCAAAGAGUAAUAGAGUUAAGUAAAAAGAAAAGGUACAUUAAUGUAAAAAAGAUAUUACAAUUCAAUUAGCGGGGUGAUCAGUCCCAGUCUGAUCAAACACAGUCCCUUCCUCCCCCUCACUUUCUUCUGGCUCUAAAUCGUCCAUCCAUGUGAAAUCUUCUGGGAAAACCACUUGACCAGCUCCUUCAGCAAAUCAUUAUGGGCAUCCACUUAAGUUGUGGCUGCCCGCUAAUUUGCUUCGGCUUUGGAAGUCUUUAGGCACCCUUCCAGCUUGACAAUCUUCUUCUUUUCGGCUUCUAAAGAAAUUUUUUCCAACUCUAACUCUUCUAGAGUUUAUGGAUGGUAGCUUCGGAAGAUUUGAGAUUAUUCGAAAACACCUCCAACUAAUUGUUCUAAGCUGAAAGACGAGUCUUCAGCGUCAUGUUUUCUUGACCUAUCUAUUGGAAGGUGCCCUUGAGUUGGCGUACUUUUUUCCGAGCCAUAUGAUAGGUGGCAAUGGCCUUUACUUUCAAGUUGCUGCAAUAAAGCAUCAAGUCCUAUAAGCUCUCUUUCUCCUAUCGUUUCCGAUCUUCUAAUAAACAGACUAAGGCGCUCAGCACUUGGCCAAAGUCCUUGUUAUUCUUCACUAAUUGGUGGUCCCGAACAGAUUGUGCCAGGAUCUGGGAACCAAGAGAGACCGAAACGGUUUCACUAAUCACACACUCAGAAGAGGAGAUAGGCAUAACUGGUUUAUUAGUAGAAUGGGUUGGACCAGGCAAUGAGCCCACUGGGUUAGGAGCGAUUGGCACAGUAGUGGUAGGAGGAUCUUCAGUUCAACUCUUCUUAGAUGGGGGACUUGUCCAAGCUCAGCCUCUUUUUCCUUUUUAGUUCCCUAAUGAGCCAAGUGGUUUCGUGUGUUUGAUUGCCCAUCAUACCUGCACAAAGAAAGAAGUUAGUAAGUAUCACAGUUUAUGAGGAAAGAAGUUAAG
rnacentral:misc_RNA from 1 species